GAUGAACGCUGGCGGCGUGCCUAAUACAUGCAAGUCGAGCGAACAGACGAGGAGCUUGCUCCUCUGACGUUAGCGGCGGACGGGUGAGUAACACGUGGAUAACCUACCUAUAAGACUGGGAUAACUUCGGGAAACCGGAGCUAAUACCGGAUAAUAUAUUGAACCGCAUGGUUCAAUAGUGAAAGACGGUCUUGCUGUCACUUAUAGAUGGAUCCGCGCCGCAUUAGCUAGUUGGUAAGGUAACGGCUUACCAAGGCAACGAUGCGUAGCCGACCUGAGAGGGUGAUCGGCCACACUGGAACUGAGACACGGUCCAGACUCCUACGGGAGGCAGCAGUAGGGAAUCUUCCGCAAUGGGCGAAAGCCUGACGGAGCAACGCCGCGUGAGUGAUGAAGGUCUUCGGAUCGUAAAACUCUGUUAUUAGGGAAGAACAAAUGUGUAAGUAACUAUGCACGUCUUGACGGUACCUAAUCAGAAAGCCACGGCUAACUACGUG
rnacentral:rRNA from 1 species